rnacentral:rRNA from 1 species
AACGAACGCUGGCGGCAGGCCUAACACAUGCAAGUCGAACGCCCCGCAAGGGGAGUGGCAGACGGGUGAGUAACGCGUGGGAACCUUCCCUGUGGUACGGAACAACUGACCGAAAGGUUAGCUAAUACCGUAUACGUCCGAGAGGAGAAAGAUUUAUCGCCAUAGGAUGGGCCCGCGUCGGAUUAGCUAGUUGGUGAGGUAAUGGCUCACCAAGGCGACGAUCCGUAGCUGGUCUGAGAGGAUGAUCAGCCACACUGGGACUGAGACACGGCCCAGACUCCUACGGGAGGCAGCAGUGGGGAAUAUUGGACAAUGGGCGCAAGCCUGAUCCAGCCAUGCCGCGUGGGUGAUGAAGGUCUUCGGAUUGUAAAACUCUUUCGCCGGGGAAGAUAAUGACGGUACCCGGAGAAGAAGCUCCGGCUAACUUCGUGCCAGCCGCCGCCGUAACAC